rnacentral:rRNA from 1 species
UACGGGGGGGCAAGCGUUGUUCGGAAUUACUGGGCGUAAAGGGCUCGUAGGUGGCCAACUAAGUCAGACGUGAAAUCCCUCGGCUUAACCGGGGAACUGCGUCUGAUACUGGAUGGCUUGAGUUCGGGAGAGGGAUGCGGAAUUCCAGGUGUAGCGGUGAAAUGCGUAGAUAUCGGGAGGAACACCAGUGGCGAAGGCGGUUAGCUGGCCUGUAACUGACACUGAGGCGCGAAGGCUAGGGGAGCGAACAGG